rnacentral:rRNA from 1 species
GAUGAACGCUGGCGGCGUGCCUAAUACAUGCAAGUCGAGCGAACGGACGAGAAGCUUGCUUCUCUGAUGUUAGCGGCGGACGGGUGAGUAACACGUGGAUAACCUACCUAUAAGACUGGGAUAACUUCGGGAAACCGGAGCUAAUACCGGAUAAUAUUUUGAACCGCAUGGUUCAAAAGUAAAAGACGGUCUUGCUGUCACUUAUAGAUGGAUCCGCGCUGCAUUAGCUAGUUGGUAAGGUAACGGCUUACCAAGGCAACGAUGCAUAGCCGACCUGAGAGGGUGAUCGGCCACACUGGAACUGAGACACGGUCCAGACUCCUACGGGAGGCAGCAGUAGGGAAUCUUCCGCAAUGGGCGAAAGCCUGACGGAGCAACGCCGCGUGAGUGAUGAAGGUCUUCGGAUCGUAAAACUCUGUUAUUAGGGAAGAACAUAUGUGUAAGUAACUGUGCACAUCUUGACGGUACCUAAUCAGAAAGCCACGGCUAACUUCGUG